rnacentral:rRNA from 1 species
CGAGUCUAAACAACUCUUCAACCCCUGGAACAUACCUAAAACGUUGCUUCGGCGGGAACAGACGGCCCCGUAAAACGGGCCGCCCCCGCCAGAGGACCCCUAACUCUGUUGCUAUAUGUAUCUUCUGAGUAAACAAGCAAAUAAAUUAAAACUUUCAACAACGGAUCUCUUGGCUCUGGCAUCGAUGAAGAACGCAGCGAAAUGCGAUAAGUAAUGUGAAUUGCAGAAUUCAGUGAAUCAUCGAAUCUUUGAACGCACAUUGCGCCCGCCAGUAUUCUGGCGGGCAUGCCUGUUCGAGCGUCAUUACAACCCUCAGGCCCCCGGGCCUGGCGUUGGGGAUCGGCGAGGCGCCCCCUGUGGGCACGCGCCGUCCCCCAAAUACAGUGGCGGUCCCGCCGCAGCUUCCAUUGCGUAGUAGCUAACACCUCGCAACUGGAGAGCGGCGCGGCCAUGCCGUAAAACACCCAACUUCUGAAUGUUGACCUCAAAUCAGGUAGGAAUAC